rnacentral:rRNA from 1 species
AUUAGAGUGUUCAAAGCAGGCAGAUCCAAUUUUCUGCCACCGAAUACAUUAGCAUGGGAUAAUGGAAUAGGACCCUGUCCUCCUAUUUUCAGUUGGUUUUGGCAGCGCGAGGACUAGGGUAAUGAUUAAUAGGGAUAGUUGGGGGCAUUAAUAUUUAAUUGUCAGAGGUGAAAUUCUUGGAUUUAUGAAAGAUUAACUUCUGCGAAAGCAUCUGCCAAGGAUGUUUUCAUUAAUCAAGAACGAAAGUUAGGGGAUCGAAGACGAUCAGAUACCGUCGUAGUCUUAACCAUAAACGAUGCCGACCAGCGAUUAGGAGACGUUGAAUACAAAACACCACCAUCGGCGCGGUCGUCCUUGGCGUCGGUCUUUCGGGGCCGGCGCGGGGGCGGCUUAGCCCGGUGGCACCGGUGAAUGACUCCCCUAGCAGCUUGUG